rnacentral:lncRNA from 1 species
AAAGAGGGAACCCUGCAUGUUAUGGGCUUUGAUAUUCAGGAGUCAGAGCAUGAGUGGGGAAGAUGCAGAGAACACUUGGGGGCACUCAGCCCUGCUAUAGGACCUCACAGUAACCAAACCUAAAGAGCAGAAGCUCUUCCCUUCUGUUACAAGAAAAAUACAUGAAUAAUAAUGUUAAAAUUAGUUACCACCAUUGGGUUCAAGAUGGACUACAGCCGUAUGUUGUUAUUUAAAUUAAGCAAUGGGCUAUGUAUUUAGCAUUUUUUAAUGAAAUGGUUUAUUAUGGAUAUUCUACUGCUCUGUGAAAGCUGUGUAAUUAUUGGUCCUCUUGUCAGAAAACAGGACUUUUCACUCCCUAGCAUAUGCUUUAAGAAGCAUGUUAGUCACACAGUGCAUUAAACAUAUAAUAAUUUUCUGUUUUAAAAAAUAGUUUUUAGAAGACCUGCUUCCAGGAAUAUGGAGUAUAUACUUUUCUCCAUUCCUCCAAUAAUUACAAUGAAAAACCUGAACAUUAUAUACAAAAUCAAUACAAGAAGACUCUGAGGGGUGAAGAUAAGAAAUAUGCUUCUGCAGUUAUGUUAAACUGACACCCUGUUUCAAGAUUCACCUUGCAGUAUCUUGCUCUGUACAUAUUUGUCUAACGUUCUUUUGCUUUGCCUAAACAAUGCAUUUAGGAAGUGUCCCAUUAUCAGAUAGCUCAGUGUAUGUGUUUUACCACCAACCAAUCCCACCACUUUGUACCCCUCUCCCUGAUCAUCUUGAGCUAAGGACAAGCGAAUUUCAAAAGCACCCAAGUGGUAGUGCCGUCAUGGCAAGAUGAGCAUCGUCACAUGACCAAAUCUCUGGUCUAUUCUAAGCUUAUAAGCUCCAGAAUUUAAGUCCAAAGAAAGUUCAAAAAAGUCCCAGAGCAAUGACUUCUCCCUCCAGUUCCUACCCAUAACAUUUGUUGAGCAUCAACUGUGCAUCAGCAUUCUUCUAAGUGCUUUAAACAGAUUAACACUUCUCAUUCUCACCCCAUGAAUUAGAUUCACUUUUUAUUUGGGAAAUUGAGGCAUGGAAUGGUUGCAUAACUCGCUCAAAGUCAUAAAGUAAGUGAAAGAACCAGGAUCUAGAUCUUAGUAAUCCAACCUCCAUAUUUCUCUGGCUUUGGAGACCAAAAUGCUUAAAAUAGUGUUUUUCAAGGUUGGUCCAAGGUAUUUGCUUCAGGAUCAUGAGGCAGAGGUAGCAUUUGUUGUUAUAAAGGUGACUCCCUCCACUCCAGCAUUAUCAAAUCCAAAGUCUAUGGAUAGGAAUCCAUAUUUUCAACAAAUACCUCAGGUGAUUUUGCGCGCAUCAAAGCUGGAAACUGAUUGAUUUAAGCAGACCAUGCUUCAGCUCCUACAAGAAGAACCCACUGAUUUCUGAAAGGAAACAGGUCACAUGCAGCAGCUACAGUUACCAGAAUAAGGUCCAAAUGAGGGCUUCUCACCAUAAGGAACUCCACUGACAUGAAUUCAGACAACAGCAAUACAUGGAAGUUGUACUUGCAAAGAUUCAUUAUACACGUGGCAUUCCUAAAGAGAGAAAAGUAAGAGGCAGAGAUCCUGAAAGCUGAGGCCAACGGGUACCUGCAUGUAUUUCUGCAGAUUGAUUCCAACGGGAUGGACGUUCAUCAAUUGCCUGAGGAAGAAUUGAUUUUUCAGUUUAGUCCUUAUCAUUCACAGAGGAAAGAAUAUGAAGAUUUUUGCCUUUAGAAGAUGAAAGAUCAUGAAGAGAAUGUGAAAUGAAUGGAUGCUCAUUUUUAAUAUGAUACCCUUUCUGAAAAAUCAAUAUGGCUAAAAUAUAUUUGCAGUAAUUUUAGGGGGUGUCUUCUUUUAUAUCUAGCAAAUCUAAAUCAGAGAGAAAAUAUUUGUUAACUUUAUUUAAAUUGAAAAACAAAAAACCAAUAAAGUUCUCUCCAAGAGAGAAAAACGUGAAGC